AUUGAACGCUGGCGGCAGGCCUAACACAUGCAAGUCGAGCGGAGCGGCGGACGGGUGAGUAAUGCCUAGGAAUCUGCCUGGUAGUGGGGGAUAACGUCCGGAAACGGGCGCUAAUACCGCAUACCAGCAGAUGAGCCUAGGUCGGAUUAGCUAGUUGGUGGGGUAAAGGCCUACCAAGGCGACGAUCCGUAACUGGUCUGAGAGGAUGAUCAGUCAAACUGGAACUGGGGCACGGUCCCGGCUCCGACGGCGGGCGGCAGUGGGGAAUAUUGCACAAUGGGCGAAAGCCUGAUGCAGCGACGCCGCGUGGGGGAUGAAGGCUUUCGGGUUGUAAACCUCUUUCGCUAUCGAACGGGUAGGUGGAGAAGAAGCGCCGGCUAACUACGUGCCAGCCGCCGCGGUAAUAC
rnacentral:rRNA from 1 species